AUUGAACACUGGCGGAAUGCUUUACACAUGCAAGUCGAACGAUGAACCUUAGCUUGCUAAGGGGAUUAGUGGCGAACGGGUGAGUAAUGUAUCGGAACGUAUCCAAUAAUGGGGGGUAACUAGUCGAAAGAUUAGCUAAUACCGCAUACGUCCUACGGGAGAAAGCUAGGGACCUUCGGGCCUGGCGUUAAUGGAGCGGCCGAUAUCUGAUUAGCUAGUUGGUGGGGUAAAGGCUCACCAAGGCGACGAUCAGUAGCUGGUCUGAGAGGACGACCAGCCACACUGGAACUGAGACACGGUCCAGACUCCUACGGGAGGCAGCAGUGGGGAAUUUUGGACAAUGGGCGAAAGCCUGAUCCAGCCAUUCCGCGUGAGUGAAGAAGGCCCUCGGGUUGUAAAGCUCUUUCGCAAGGGAAGAAAACUUAAGCUCUAACAUAGCUUGAGGUUGACGGUACCUUGAUAAGAAGCACCGGCUAACUACGUGCCAGCCGCCGCAGUAA
rnacentral:rRNA from 1 species